GAAAUGCGAUAAGUAAUGCGAAUUGCAGAAGUCAGUGAAUCAUCGAAUCUUUGAACGCACAUUGCGCCCGCCAGUAUUCUGGCGGGCAUGCCUGUUCGAGCGUCAUUACAACCCUCAGGCCCCCGGGCCUGGCGUUGGGGAUCGGCGGAAGCCCCCUGCGGGCACAACGCCGUCCCCCAAAUACAGUGGCGGUCCCGCCGCAGCUUCCAUUGCGUAGUAGCUAACACCUCGCAACUGGAGAGCGGCGCGGCCACGCCGUAAAACACCCAACUUCUGAAUGUUGACCUCGAAUCAGGUAGGAAUACCCGCUGAACUUAAGC
rnacentral:misc_RNA from 1 species